UCUGGUAGCCUAGUUGUGAGAGCGUCCGCCUCGUAUGCGGAAGGUCGCGGGUUCGAACCCCAACCCAGUCAU